rnacentral:rRNA from 1 species
GAUGAACGCUAGCGGCAGGCCUAACACAUGCAAGUCGAGGGAGAAGCCCUUUCGGGGGCAGAAACCGGCGCACGGGUGCGUAACGCGUAUGCAACCUACCUUUCACAGGGGGAUAGCCCGAAGAAAUUUGGAUUAAUACCCCAUAAUAUUGUUGGAUGGCAUCAUCUAGCAAUUAAAGCUACGACGGUGGAAGGUGGGCAUGCGUCCUAUUAGCUAGUUGGAGUGGUAACGGCACCCCAAGGCUACGAUAGGUAGGGGUCCUGAGAGGGAGAUCCCCCACACUGGUACUGAGACAGGGACCAGACUCCUACGGGAGGCAGCAGUGAGGAAUAUUGGUCAAUGGUCGGAAGACUGAACCAGCCAUGCCGCGUGCAGGAAGAAUGCCUUAUGGGUUGUAAACUGCUUUUAUAUGGGAAGAAUAAAGGUGUACG